AAAUCCCCCCUCUGUCCUUACCGCCUUUCUCUUCCCCGUCAUUUUACUGCACCUACCACUACCCACCCCUCUUGCGGCCCACCUACUCUUGUUGAAAGUUUAGAUCUGAUCUGGAUGGGGUUUGGGGUUUUGGAUGUGCUGCAUAAUGUUUCGAUUUGGCCCCCUCCAUUUUCCAUUUCUGCCUCUUUUUUCUCAUCCGGCCCACCCAACUCCUCUUCCCUCCCUCCCUUCGGCCCACCAUCCCUCCCACUUCUUCCGGUCACCACUCUAACCCUGCCUAGGUGCUGUUAUAGCAUUUUCGGCGGCUAUAGAUUGGACCUUUUCAAACUUCCUUUUUUCGAUCUGAGCUUUGCCAAGUCCGAGGGUUUGCUAGAUUGUGGGUCUUUCUUGUGCGAUUAGUAGAGGGCUUCGUUCUUGUGGUGCUAGAAGUGGAGUCAUGAUCUAAAGUGGAGGGUUAUGGGUUGGGGGUUCUGGAUCUUGAUGAGAAGAGUCAUUUGGCUCCGGCGAUUAUGGAUUUAUGGUUGAUUCGUGGCUCGGCGGAAGGAAGCUCUUGUAUCAGCGGCCCCUCUUCCCUAUUCUGGAUUUUUGUUGUAUUGCUAAUCUCUAAAUGUUUCAGUUUUAGGUUGGUUUAUGGGGUUUUGCUGGGUUGUUUUUUUUUCUUUCCAUUAAUUGAUUUGUUAUGCAUUAAUGUUCAUUGUUCGGUCAAUUAUUGGUGUUGCUUAUGAUGGCUAUGACUUGUCUUUGCUUGGCUGACUUAUGGCAUUUCUCCUAGUUGAUUCUUUUUGCUUGUGUUAUCUUAUUUCUGGAAUCAUUUGGGAGUUCUGAUUUGUUUUAGUCAUUGACAGAUUCUGUUCUGAGCUCCUUGCCAAUUCGGUAUCUCUCUUGGCUGGUGUUUAUGUCUGAUUUGAACUCCUAUGUUGUAUGGUUUUCCGUUGGGCUACUGUUCGCUGGAGGAAUUUGGGAGAAAAAUUAGAGGAAAAUUGCUGCUAUUCACAUGACUGUGUUGUUGCCAGCUGGUUAAUGGGUCCCACUUAAUUUAGGUUGUUUAAAUUUCAAAUUUGACAAGCUGAUUUCAUUUGGGCUCUUAUAUUUCAGCUUUUUACCUACCUUUACAUGGGAUGGGAUUGAUGAUGUCUGCAUAUCCUUGACAUGUACCAAAUGGAUCCAUUGAGGACUAACUGUGUGGGUCUUGGGCCCACGGUUUGGGCUGAUAUUGUUAUACCUAUGGUCUGUUUGGCUUUUAAACUAAUUUUCUUAGUUGUUUCUUUUGCCUAACCUCGGGUUGUGAGGAAAAUGUAAUUUAGGUUUGGUAUUUUGCUUCCUAAGUUGCUAGGUGUUUUAGUCCUCUCGAGAGAAAGGGACUAUGCUCUGAUCUUCAUUGUAAUAUUCAACGUUUUUUUCAAUGUUAAUAUACAAACAAAAAUUUAGCAAAAAAAUAAAAAUAAAAAUAACCCGUAGGUUAUUCAAUUAUCUCACCUAAUGUAUAAUUAGGUUAUGAAGCUUUUAUUUUUAAUGAAAUCUAUAAAU
rnacentral:lncRNA from 1 species